AUUCUAUUUAAUGUAUUUAUCUUUGAAUGAUGCUCGAUUGGUGUUCUGUAUGUCAUGAGCCAAUCAACACUUUGCCCGUUAUUUUCUUAAUUGGCUGAAUUUUUAUUUAGGAUUGGUUAAUACGUAUUUUGAAAAAGAAAGGAUGUAUGGUAGUUUGAUCUAGAUAAGAUUUCGAAUCUUUGCGACACGUUAAAUGAAAUUUUAGAAGUUACAUCGUUUAUCACUGUGAUAUAUGCAGAACAUUUGAGUGUAGUAAAAUGUCACGCCCAUGGCUGCCUUCACUGAAAGAAAUUGGAGGGGAUGCUGAACGGGCAUUUAAGGAGUUACAUUCCUGUUGGGACAAAGAAAAUCUCAGCAAGGAUGAAAAGUGUAAAAACAUUGCAGCAAUUCGUCAAGAACUAUCUCCCACUACAUCACUCAACUGUGAUGACUUUCAGCCCACCACAGCUUUUCUGGCAAGAAAAAAUACAUGAAGGAAAGCUCAGUGUAUUGAAGUAUGAGGUAAAAAAUAUACGAGCUGAAAUAGAGAUCUGGUGGGAGAAGUGUUUCCUCAGUGAAGAUGAGAAACAAGAAUUUGAGGAUUAUAAAUCAAUAAAUUACACAGAUCAACUGUAUGGUUGCCAUGUAGAAGAAUUAGAAAGACUGAAAAGAAAAUUUUAUAGAAAUGAAUCUUUAUAUCUUCUAAUCAAAAAACACCAGGACACAUGGGAACGUGUAGUGAACAUGGAUAAACAGUUAUAUAAUCCAGAGAGAUUAUUUCAAAAUAGAGGUGCUCAAUUGUUGCAAGAAGAGAGAGACAGGCGGGCUGCACAGAAGGAUUUACCACAUCUUGAAGAACUAAUAAAGAAGGAGACAGAAUUAUUUGAACGUGAGCAUGGAAGACCAUUCUUAAUAUAUGGAAAAUGUUUCUCUGACAUGAUUUUACAUCAGAAGGAGCUGCAUAAAGAGAAUCAGAAGUCACUUAAGAGUGCCAGGAAGAAGUGUGAGAAUUGCUGUGCUCCUUCAAAUGCAGCUAAGAUGACAACUUCAAUAUCCAAACUGAAAAGGAAACUUGAUAACCCACCCAGUCCAGUUGCAGUGCAGACUAAACAAGCAAGGGUAGCAUCAUGUGACAAACUUGGCUCCCGUCGUGGUGAAGUCUGUGGUCCAAAACUUCGCUUGCCAGUCCGACGGAAGCUGAUUGAGAGGACAGUUAAUGUUCCUGUCAUACAACCUUAACACAGUCUUGUAUUUCACUCCAAACCAUUUCAGUUUGGAUUCAUACAGCUACAACCUUAUACUUUCCAGGAUCUGACACUGCACAAUAUCAAAGUAGUGUGUGUCAAUGUCUCAGCUUUGUUAUUGUCUCAGUACUCAAAUCCUACUUCAUCAAAUGAAACAUAAACUAUGCAAGAUCAAGGCCAUAACAGUAACAAUUAUGCACAUGCCUGAAAUAUGAGGAAGUUUUACUUUUCAAUUGGGUUUAAAUACACUGGUAUUAAAUACUUAUAUUAAAUGUAAAUGUAGCUCUUUGUCUUUAAGUCUGAGAAAUUAGUGUGAAUUGGGUGAUAAUUCAUUCACAUGAAAUCUAGGACAACACCUGUUUUCUAGAUUUUGUGCAAUUGGAUUAUUGUUAACUUUGUAAAUUAGCUUUCCUUUUAGUUGAAACAGAUGAGACAUCAUCAUGGUCAGCAUGCUAAAUAUUGUUUUUAUUAUGACAGCACUGAAUUUAAAUGAAAUAAUGUACUUUAACAUCAGUGACAUGAAACUUUGACUUCUUGUAUUCAACUCGAUACCUUACUCGAAAAACAACCUACAAUUUUAAUGAAAAUAAUUAUAUACUGUUUUUACCAUAUCAAUUUUCACACUUUUUAUUUGUACAGUUUUUGUGUGUCACAGUGUGGCAGAAACAUGUGGUUGAUU